AUGUCUAAGCGAAGAAGGCAGAGCGAGGAUCAGCCCGGCCGCAGUGGCACAAAGCAGAAGAAGAGCCUCUAUCUGGUUCUAGACGAUUGGCACAAAGGCUUCAUCAUCUGCAAGAUCGACGCCGACAGUCCCGACCUCAGCGGCCCCCCUGUCCUCCGGCUACUGUCACUUGAGCGCGGCCGUGCCAUGAGGUUCGCAGCCCUGGGCAGCAACAUCAUCGCCACGAGCAACAUACACGCCGGGACCCUCUUCUACGACACGGACACCGCCGGACUGUCCAUCGGCCCUCCCGUUCCAGACGCACCGCUCGGCGGCUCCAACACCUUCCUGACCUCCGGCGCCGGCGACGCGCUGUUCGCGUUCGCCUUCCAUCUCAUGGAGCGGCCUGUGUCCUUCGAGGCGAUGACGAGGCCGCCGAUGACCGGAGACGACGACCUGCUGCCCACCGACUGGGCGGUCUGCGGCACGUACUCCGUCGACACCAGGAGCAGCAAAUGGAGGCGGCAGGGGGAGUGGAUGCUGCCUUUCAGAGGCCGAGGCUACUUCGACGCCGAGCUGGACGCGUGGGUCGGGCUGCACGAGGACGGCUACAUCUGCUCCUGCCAGGUCGCCUCCCGCAGCGGCGGCGCCACCACGGAGCGGCCGGACUGGAAGAUGGCCGACGAGCAGAGGAUGUGGAUCCCGUGCCAUCAACUGGCGAAAGGGGAGGGAGCUACUCUCACGUACAUGGGCAAUGCCAGGUUUUGCCUGGUCGAUUGCGUGGCAGGCGAUGGAGUCGAGUUUCAGGAUGCGUUUGGUGUCGCUGGCGGCUGCGUGCUCCAUAUCACCACCUUCCGCCUCCGGUACGAUCGUAAGGGCAAGCUGCGGAUCGUCGACCGGAAUACUAGCUCAUGCCCUGUGUCUAAGCAUUUCACGUCUCUCCUGUGGCGUUUUGGAUGUAGCGCACUGCUCGAACAGGUUCUGGAGUAA
rnacentral:rRNA from 1 species